rnacentral:rRNA from 1 species
ACGAACGCUGGCGGCGUGCUUAACACAUGCAAGUCGAACGGUGAAGCGCCUUCCUUUUUGGUGGGUGUGGAUGAGUGGCGAACGGGUGAGUAACACGUGAGUAACCUGCCCCCUUCUUCUGGAUAACCGCAUGAAAGUGUGGCUAAUACGGGAUAUUCUGGGUCUGUCGCAUGAUGGGUCUGGGAAAGAUAUUGUUUCGGUGGGGGAUGGGCUCGCGGCCUAUCAGCUUGUUGGUGGGGUGAUGGCCUACCAAGGCGGUGACGGGUGGCCGGCCUGAGGGGGUGGACGGUCACACUGGGACUGAGACACGGCCCAGACUCCUACGGGAGGCAGCAGUGGGGAAUAUUGCACAAUGGGCGCAAGCCUGAUGCAGCGACGCCGCGUGAGGGAUGGAGGCCUUCGGGUUGUGAACCUCUUUCGCCAGUGAAGCAGGCCUGCCUCGUUUGUGGGUGGGUUGACGGUAGCUGGAUAAGAAGCGCCGGCUAACUACGUG